rnacentral:SRP_RNA from 1 species
GCUGGGCAUGGUGGCACGUGCCUGUAGUCCCAGUUACUUGGGAGGCUGAGGCAAGAGGAUCGCUUGAGCCUAGGAGUUCUCUAGCAGGAUCAGGUGUCUGCACCAAGUUUGGCAUCAAUAUGGUGACCUCCCAGGAGCAGGGAACCACCAGGUUGCCCAAGGAGGGGUGAGCUGGCCCAGGUUAGAAACAGAGCACAUCAAAACUCCUGUGCUGAUCAGAAAGUUAAAGUAUCUUUUCUUAACCUCAGUUUCCUCGUGUGGAAAAUGAAACCUACCUCU